ACAAGAAAAGAAAAGCAAAGAAAAACACAAAGAAAAAAAAGAGAAUGAUUUGUCGUGUUUUGGGGAGAGAGACGCGCAAGUUUUUUCGGUUUCUCAUAUUUUCUUUUAUGCUUCUUUUUCUCUUCUUCUUCUUUUCUUCUU
rnacentral:ribozyme from 1 species